AGUGAUAUAGGUGUAGUAGUGAUAUAGGUGUAGUAGGUAGUAGUGUAGUAGUGAUAUAGGUGUAGUAGGUAGUAGUGUAGUAGUGAUAUAGGUGUAGUAGUGAUAUAGGUGUAGUAGUGAUAUAGGUGUAGUAGGUAGUAGUGUAGUAGUGAUAUAGGUGUAGUAGUGAUAUAGGUGUAGUAGUGAUAUAGGUGUAGUAGUGAUAUAGGUGUAGUAGGUAGUAGUGUAGUAGUGAUAUAGGUGUAGUAGUGUAGUAGUGAUAUAGGUGUAGUAGUGAUAUAGGUGUAGUAGGUAGUAGUGUAGUAGUGAUAUAGGUGUUAGCACAGUGGGUACAUAAUUAGAUGUUUUAUUUGGUUUUAUCAUCCAGGACCACUUUGGACACAAGUGUUUUAAUGUGGGGAUACAGUAUACUGGACAUAUUAUUGUUUAUGUUUUUUACCAAUAAAAAAAAAAAGAUUCUUGUCAUGGCAA